AUGGGGUGACUGCGUACCUUUUGUAUAAUGGGUCAGCGACUUAUAUUCUGUAGCAAGGUUAACCGAAUAGGGGAGCCGAAGGGAAACCGAGUCUUAACUGGGCGUUAAGUUGCAGGGUAUAGACCCGAAACCCGGUGAUCUAGCCAUGGGCAGGUUGAAGGUUGGGUAACACUAACUGGAGGACCGAACCGACUAAUGUUGAAAAAUUAGCGGAUGACUUGUGGCUGGGGGUGAAAGGCCAAUCAAACCGGGAGAUAGCUGGUUCUCCCCGAAAGCUAUUUAGGUAGCGCCUCGUGAAUUCAUCUCCGGGGGUAGAGCACUGUUUCGGCAAGGGGGUCAUCCCGACUUACCAACCCGAUGCAAACUGCGAAUACCGGAGAAUGUUAUCACGGGAGACACACGGCGGGUGCUAACGUCCGUCGUGAAGAGGGAAACAACCCAGACCGCCAGCUAAGGUCCCAAAGUCAUGGUUAAGUGGGAAACGAUGUGGGAAGGCCCAGACAGCCAGGAUGUUGGCUUAGAAGCAGCCAUCAUUUAAAGAAAGCGUAAUAGCUCACUGGUCGAGUCGGCCUGCGCGGAAGAUGUAACGGGGCUAAACCAUGCACCGAAGCUGCGGCAGCGACGCUUAUGCGUUGUUGGGUAGGGGAGCGUUCUGUAAGCCUGCGAAGGUGUACUGUGAGGUAUGCUGGAGGUAUCAGAAGUGCGAAUGCUGACAUAAGUAACGAUAAAGCGGGUGAAAAGCCCGCUCGCCGGAAGACCAAGGGUUCCUGUCCAACGUUAAUCGGGGCAGGGUGAGUCGACCCCUAAGGCGAGGCCGAAAGGCGUAGUCGAUGGGAAACAGGUUAAUAUUCCUGUACUUGGUGUUACUGCGAAGGGGGGACGGAGAAGGCUAUGUUGGCCGGGCGACGGUUGUCCCGGUUUAAGCGUGUAGGCUGGUUUUCCAGGCAAAUCCGGAAAAUCAAGGCUGAGGCGUGAUGACGAGGCACUACGGUGCUGAAGCAACAAAUGCCCUGCUUCCAGGAAAAGCCUCUAAGCAUCAGGUAACAUCAAAUCGUACCCCAAACCGACACAGGUGGUCAGGUAGAGAAUACCAAGGCGCUUGAGAGAACUCGGGUGAAGGAACUAGGCAAAAUGGUGCCGUAACUUCGGGAGAAGGCACGCUGAUAUGUAGGUGAAGUCCCUCGCGGAUGGAGCUGAAAUCAGUCGAAGAUACCAGCUGGCUGCAACUGUUUAUUAAAAACACAGCACUGUGCAAACACGAAAGUGGACGUAUACGGUGUGACGCCUGCCCGGUGCCGGAAGGUUAAUUGAUGGGGUUAGCG
rnacentral:rRNA from 1 species